CAGUCGCCGCGGUAAUACGAAGGGGGCUAGCGUUGUUCGGAAUUACUGGGCGUAAAGGGCGCGUAGGCGGCCAUUCAAGUUAGAUGUGAAAGCCCUGGGCUCAACCUAGGAAUUGCAUUUGAUACUGUUUGGCUUGAGUUCGGGAGAGGUGAGUGGAAUUCCCAGUGUAGAGGUGAAAUUCGUAGAUAUUGGGAAGAACACCAGUGGCGAAGGCGGCUCACUGGACCGACACUGACGCUGAGACGCGAAAGCGUGGGGAGCAAACAGGAUUAGAUACCCCUGUAGUCCCUGUCUCUUAUAC
rnacentral:rRNA from 1 species